rnacentral:tRNA from 1 species
GGGGCCGUAGCUCAGUUGGGAGAGCGUCUCGUUCGCAACGAGAAGGUCGCGGGUUCAAAUCCCGCCGGCUCCA